CCUACGGGCGGCAGCAGUGGGGAAUAUUGGACAAUGGGCGAAAGCCUGAUCCAGCCAUGCCGCGUGUGUGAAGAAGGCCUUCGGGUUGUAAAGCACUUUCAGUGGGGAAGAAAGCCUUGGGGCUAAUACCCUCGAGGAAGGACAUCACCCACAGAAGAAGCACCGGCUAACUCCGUGCCAGCAGCCGCGGUAAUACGGAGGGUGCGAGCGUUAAUCGGAAUUACUGGGCGUAAAGCGCGCGUAGGCGGUCUGAUAAGCCGGUUGUGAAAGCCCCGGGCUCAACCUGGGAACGGCAUCCGGAACUGUCAGGCUAGAGUGCAGGAGAGGAAGGUAGAAUUCCCGGUGUAGCGGUGAAAUGCGUAGAGAUCGGGAGGAAUACCAGUGGCGAAGGCGGCCUUCUGGACUGACACUGACGCUGAGGUGCGAAAGCGUGGGUAGCAAACAGGAUUAAUACCCCUGUAGUC
rnacentral:rRNA from 1 species